ACUACGGUGCUGAAGCAACAAAUGCCCUGCUUCCAGGAAAAGCCUCUAAGCAUCAGGUAACACGAAAUCGUACCCCAAACCGACACAGGUGGUCAGGUAGAGAAUACCAAGGCGCUUGAGAGAACUCGGGUGAAGGAACUAGGCAAAAUGGUGCCGUAACUUCGGGAGAAGGCACGCUGACACGUAGGUGAAGUGAUUUACUCAUGGAGCUGAAGUCAGUCGAAGAUACCAGCUGGCUGCAACUGUUUAUUAAAAACACAGCACUGUGCAAACACGAAAGUGGACGUAUACGGUGUGACGCCUGCCCGGUGCCGGAAGGUUAAUUGAUGGGGUCAGCGUAAGCGAAGCUCCUGAUCGAAGCCCCGGUAAACGGCGGCCGUAACUAUAACGGUCCUAAGGUAGCGAAAUUCCUUGUCGGGUAAGUUCCGACCUGCACGAAUGGCGUAAUGAUGGCCAGGCUGUCUCCACCCGAGACUCAGUGAAAUUGAACUCGCUGUGAAGAUGCAGUGUACCCGCGGCAAGACGGAAAGACCCCGUGAACCUUUACUAUAGCUUGACACUGAACAUUGAGCCUUGAUGUGUAGGAUAGGUGGGAGGCUUUGAAGUGUGGACGCCAGUCUGCAUGGAGCCGACCUUGAAAUACCACCCUUUAAUGUUUGAUGUUCUAACGUGGACCCGUAAUCCGGGUUGCGGACAGUGUCUGGUGGGUAGUUUGACUGGGGCGGUCUCCUCCUAAAGAGUAACGGAGGAGCACGAAGGUUGGCUAAUCCUGGUCGGACAUCAGGAGGUUAGUGCAAUGGCAUAAGCCAGCUUGACUGCGAGCGUGACGGCGCGAGCAGGUGCGAAAGCAGGUCAUAGUGAUCCGGUGGUUCUGAAUGGAAGGGCCAUCGCUCAACGGAUAAAAGGUACUCCGGGGAUAACAGGCUGAUACCGCCCAAGAGUUCAUAUCGACGGCGGUGUUUGGCACCUCGAUGUCGGCUCAUCACAUCCUGGGGCUGAAGUAGGUCCCAAGGGUAUGGCUGUUCGCCAUUUAAAGUGGUACGCGAGCUGGGUUUAGAACGUCGUGAGACAGUUCGGUCCCUAUCUGCCGUGGGCGCUGGAGAACUGAGGGGGGCUGCUCCUAGUACGAGAGGACCGGAGUGGACGCAUCACUGGUGUUCGGGUUGUCAUGCCAAUGGCACUGCCCGGUAGCUAAAUGCGGAAGAGAUAAGUGCUGAAAGCAUCUAAGCACGAAACUUGCCCCGAGAUGAGUUCUCCCUGAG
rnacentral:rRNA from 1 species